rnacentral:rRNA from 1 species
AACGCGAAGAACCUUACCUGGGCUUGAACCGCGCAGGACCAGCGGUGGAAACAUCGCCUUCUCGCAAGAGACCUGCGUAGAGGUGCUGCAUGGCUGUCGUCAGCUCGUGCCGUGAGGUGUUGGGUUAAGUCCCGCAACGAGCGCAACCCUUACUCUUAGUUGCCACCCGCAAGGGGGAACUCUAAGAGGACUGCUCCGGAUAACGGAGAGGAAGGUGGGGAUGAGGUCAAGUCAGCAUGGCCUUUAUGUCCAGGGCUACACACGUGUUACAAUGCGCGCUACAAAGUGUCGCGAACCCGCGAGGGGGAGCUAAUCGCAAAAAAGCGCGCUCAGUUCGGAUUGCAGUCUGCAACUCGACUGCAUGAAGCUGGAAUCGCUAGUAAUGGCGCAUCAGAACGGCGCCGUGAAUACGUUCCCGGGCCUUGUA